UGUAAAAUCUUAGUGGCGGACGGGUGAGUAACGCGUGGGUAACCUGCCUUACACUGGGGGAUAACACUUAGAAAUAGGUGCUAAUACCGCAUAAGCGCACGAAGCCGCAUGGAUUUGUGUGAAAAACUCCGGUGGUGUAAGAUGGACCCGCGUCUGAUUAGCUUGUUGGCGGGGUAACGGCCCACCAAGGCGACGAUCAGUAGCCGGCCUGAGAGGGUGGACGGCCACAUUGGGACUGAGACACGGCCCAAACUCCUACGGAAGGCAGCAG
rnacentral:rRNA from 1 species